UCGACCCCCCAAUCUACGAGAGAUAAGUAAGCGACAUCUACCUAUUUCCAUCAUUCGAUUGGUGUCCUUAUUAGGAAGUGGAUUGGUACUAUCCUUCUCAGUUAUCUUUCUGGCAAUCGUCUAGACGCAGCUGCAUCAUGAGAAUCACAUUUGUGUUGCUGGGUGUUCUGGCCGUGUUGGGCGCUUCCUCAGCCUUCUCCUUGUCGGCUGUGGGAGGGCUCUCCUCACAACUCCAGAAGGACACUGUAGAUGCUGAGGAAAUGAGGAAACGCGUCGAGAGGAAUGCUGAGGAAGACGUUGAUGAUGGUGAUGACGAUGAUGAUGAUGAUGAUGAUGACGA